CCAGACCUCAUUUAAGGGUUGGCAGUGGAGGUGAAGGUGUCUUGCUGGAGAUCCCUGCCUAUCUACGACCUUCUGAGGACCAGCGCUUCUGAUCCCAAUUUCUUGGUGCAUGGAUAGCUCAUGGUCAUCCACGUUCCCUUCAGGAAAGAGGAUUUCACCAUUGCAUUCAGCAUCCAGCGAUGAUUGAGCUGUUCUGGGGUCACAAAAUUAAACCAUCCUCUUGUGAGGGCAUAGGAGGAACAUUAUUACCUCCACAGCAAGGUCAAAUCUUUUUUCCUGUGUUAAUUAAUCAGCAAAAUUAAAUAGUUUGUUCAGUUAAUAUUAGUCCCUAGGAAACCAAGCCACUUAUUAAAUUGGAGCACAGAGCCAGGUGAAACAUGA
rnacentral:lncRNA from 1 species